rnacentral:rRNA from 1 species
AUGUCGAUCCCGACGUGGUUGUCGCUGAGGUCCCUGAACUCGUUGUUCUGCAUGGUGUCCAGCUCCACCGCGAAGACGCGGUUGGUGGCGUUGCCGUUGUUGCUGGUGUUGAGGAGGCCGAGGUACUGCGCCGCCAUGGCGCCCGACAAGUUUGCGGUCGGGGCGACGAAGAGCGUGACGCCGUUGGCGCUCACGUCGGGGUAG